AUACGGAAGGUCCGAGCGUUAUCCGGAUUUAUUGGGUUUAAAGGGUGCGUAGGCGGACGAUUAAGUCAGCUGUGAAAUGCCCGCGCUUAACGCGGGAAGUGCAGUUGAUACUGGUUGUCUGGAGUGCCGUUGCCGUGGGGGGAAUGUGUAGUGUAGCGGUGAAAUGCAUAGAUAUUGCACAGAACGCCGAUUGUGAAGACACCUCACGAAGCGGUAACUUACGCUGAGGCACGAAAGCGUGGAGAUCGAACAGUAUUAGAUGCCCUGGUAGUGCGCACAGUAAACGAUGAAUACUCGCUGUUUGCGAUACACUGUAAGCGGCCAAGCGAAAGCGUUACGUGUUCCCCCUGGGGAGUACGCCGGCAACGGUGAAACUCAAAUGAAUUGACGGGG
rnacentral:rRNA from 1 species